GCGGCACCACACAAACAAGGACGCUGAUUGGGCAGCUGCCAAGCGCCUCAGCUCCGCCUUACUCACACGCCACGACGCCCAUUGGGCGACCUGAGCCGGCUACCCCGCCCUCCUCUUCACGGACCUACAAGUAGAAACCGGAAUGCGGCUGCUUCGCCCCGCCCCUGAGCAUUCUAAAGAUGGAGCCUGUCGAACGGCCGUGUGCUCUGUGGUGGGCGGUGUUUCAUCGCGACAGGAUCCAGGACUCUCACGAUAGAACUAGCUGUAGGCGCUUGGGCCUUGCUCUCCAUUGGGGCGUGGCCUGUCUCCGGCGCCGAAGGCCUUAGACUUCCUGUGUCCGUCCACCUCUGCUUGGUCCUGUCUUGGGUGAGCCACCGGAGCAGAAGGAAAGGCAGCUGGCGAAAUCCAGAUCAAGUCCAGGGCCUUGCACAUCCUAGACAAGCACUCUACAUUGAACUAAACAUCAUCAGCCCCAGUAUAUUUUAAAUGUUCAGGGAAGUAAGCACUCAAUAAACAUAAUAAAUCAUAACUGCUAUGAAAAUUUUCCUUGCUUUUCCAAUGAUUUCACCCUCUUAGCUGUAAAUUCAGCUUAUUUUAGUACAUAUAUUACUUAUUUUGUACCACAUUGAAAAUUAUUUCUCUACUAAUUCGAUCAUGGCAGUGCUCUUUUCACACCUUCCCCCCCUUCCCCAGAAUCGGAGACUGAACCCGGGGCCUUCUCACUGAGCUCCAUCCCAGCCCUGUUUUUAUUUUUUAUUUUGAGACAGAGUGUC